rnacentral:rRNA from 1 species
CAGGCCUAACACAUGCAAGUCAAGGGGGCCCUUCAAGGGCAACCGGCGAACGGGUGCGUAACACGUGAGCGACCUGCCCGCUUGUGGGGGAUAGCCGGCCCAACGGCCGGGUAAUACCGCAUACGCUUUGGCCCCGGCAUCGGGGCCUUCGGAAAGAUUUAUCGCAGGCGGAGGGGCUCGCGGCCUAUCAGCUAGUUGGCGAGGUAACGGCUCACCAAGGCGACGACGGGUAGCUGGUCUGAGAGGAUGGCCAGCCACAUUGGGACUGAGAGACGGCCCAGACUCCUACGGGAGGCAGCAGUGGGGAAUCUUGCGCAAUGGGCGAAAGCCUGACGCAGCGACGCCGCGUGGGGGAGGAAGGGCUUCGGCUUGUAAACCCCUGUUGCUCGGGACGAUCCCUGGCAUUGGCCAGGUUGACGGUACCGAGUGAGGAAGCACCGGCUAACUCCGUGCCUGCAGCCGCGGUAAUACGGAGGGUGCGAGCGUUGUCCGGAAUCACUGGGCGUAAAGGGCGCGUAGGUGGUAACCUAAGCGUGUGGUGAAAGCCCGGGGCUCAACCUCGGGUCGGCCAUGCGAUCUGGGUCACUUGAGCACUGUAGAGGCAGGUGGAAUUCCGGGUGUAUCGGUGGAAUGCGUAGAGAUCUGGAAGAACACCGGUUGCGAAUGCGGCCUGCUGGGCAGUUGCUGACACUGAGGCGCGACAGCGUGGGGAGCAAACAGGAUUAGAUACCCUGGUAGUCCACGCCGUAAACGAUGGGCACUAGGUGCUUCGGGGAGCGACCCUCGGAGUGCCGGCGCUAACGCAUUAAGUGCCCCGCCUGUGGAGUACUGUCGUAUGCUGAAUCUCAAAGGAAUUGACUG